rnacentral:rRNA from 1 species
UACAGAGGUGUCAAGCGUUAGGCGGAAUCACUGGGCUUAAAGCGCGUGUAGGCGGGUCGUUAAGUGUCUUGUGAAAUCCCACGGCUCAACCGUGGAACUGCUGGGCAUACUGACGAUCUUGAGGCACUCAGGGGCUGUCGGAACAAAUGGUGGAGCGGUGAAAUGCGUAGAUAUCAUUUGGAACGCCAACGGUGAAAACAGACAGCUGGGGGUGUCCUGACGCUGAGACGCGAAAGCCAGGGGAGCGAACGGG